CGCGGGGGUGGAGCGGUUCGAUGGCUCGUCGAGGCUCAUAACCCGAAGGUCGCAGGUUCAAAUCCUGCCCCGCAACCA
rnacentral:tRNA from 1 species